UACAGGGGGUGCAAACGUUGCUCGGAAUCAUUGGGCGUAAAGCGCACGUAGGCGGUUCGUUAUGUCGGAUGUGAAAGCCCUUGGCUUAACCGAGGAAGUGCAUCCGAAACUGGCGAGCUAGAGUACGAAAGAGGAUCGCGGAAUUCCCGGUGUAGAGGUGAAAUUCGUAGAUAUCGGGAGGAACACCGGUGGCGAAGGCGGCGAUCUGGGUCGAUACUGACGCUGAAGUGCGAAAGCGUGGGGAGCAAACAGG
rnacentral:rRNA from 1 species